rnacentral:lncRNA from 1 species
GAUAAGGAGGAGGAAGAAGAUGAGGAGGAAGAGCAGGGGAGGAAGAGGAAGAAGCAGAGGAAGAGGAGGAGGAGGAAGAUGAUGAUGAUGAUGAGGGGACAUGGUUCACAUUCUCAAAGAGUUCAUAGUGUAGUGUAUUGAACCAGCAGAGACAGAGAGACUGGUUUACAACAUGAAAAGGGCAAAAAUGGACAUACACACCCUGAGGGUUUGCUGGAGUUGUGGGGAGGCAACAGCCUUUUCGAAGGAGAUGUCUGAGCUGACACAGAGAGCUUGCACCUGGCUGUCUGGCUGUCCAUCUCUAGAGUGUUUGAGCUUCAUCUGUUCAACUCAUUAACACCAUUCAGAACUCAAGGGCUGUUAUGGAGCAAACAGGUUUUUGCAAUUUGCAGUGCAAGGUUUCAGCAAGAAGGCACUUGAGAUGAUCGAAUUCAGUCUAUGGUAAACGUGAGAUGGGACCUUCAGCCAGGCCUGGAGUGAGGCCUCAGGAGAGAAACAUAUUCCUUCAGGACUUGGAGGCUAUGAAAUGGCGGGGGAAAGAGGUAGGGUUAAGGCCUAUUCUAUUCCCUCUUCCACUCUGGGUUUUGUUUCUUUUGAGUCUCCCCACGGAAGAGCUCAGAGUGGCUCCAACACAGCAGGUUAGUGGUUUGAUAGAACUGCUGUUCACAUAGCUUCAUUAGCUUCUUACUUGAUUGGAAUGAAAAUAUUCCCCACUGCGGGGUGGAUGACCUAACUCAUCAAGUUACUCGGCGCUGCUCAGUGGCUCAUGCUCAAAGCAGAGCACACUUGUUAACAGGAGUUGUGCCCUUUGAGGCAGGGCCAGUCACCUCGUUUGCUUCUUUUGAAGUCUUCUGUGCUUAUACUUGCUGGUUUGUGGCUGGGUGUUAUCAGGGUGACAACCACAGUGUGGUCCUCUCUGUCUGUGGACAGACUGUUGGAGAGUGGGAAGAUGGCCUUGCUCUAAUUGUACACAAUCACUUCUCCACCCCCCCCUCCACACUUUUAUCUCCUGGUGACUGUGAUGGUUAGCUGUAAUGAUCAACUGUCCACAGUCUAGAGUCAGAGCAUGACAGGGCCUUGUAGAGGAUGUGUACAUCAGGUCGGCCCAAGGACAUUCACUUCUGUGAGGGACUUUUCCUAAUUAGGAUAAUUGUUGUGGGAAGACCCAGC